rnacentral:rRNA from 1 species
UACGUAAGGACCGAGCGUUGUCCGGAAUUAUUGGGCGUAAAGGGAGCGCAGGCGGUUGGAAUAGUUUGAAGUGAAAGGCCACGGCUUAACCGUGGAAGGUCAUUGGAAACUGUCCAACUUGAAUGCAGAAGAGGUAAGUGGAAUUCCAUGUGUAGCGGUGAAAUGCGUAGAUAUAUGGAGGAACACCAGUGGCGAAGGCGACUUACUGGUCUGUGAUUGACGCUGAGGCUCGAAAGCGUGGGUAGCAAACAGG